rnacentral:rRNA from 13 species
GACCAGCGGAAGACGAACCACUGCGAAAGCAUUUGCCAGGGAUGUUUUCACUGAUCAAGAACGAAAGUUAGGGGAUCGAAGACGAUCAGAUACCGUCGUAGUCUUAACCAUAAACCAUGCCGACUAGGGAUUGGAGGCUGUUCCUUUUGUGACUCCUUCAGCACCUUUCGGGAAACUAAAGUCUUUGGGUUCCGGGGGGAGUAUGGUCGCAAGGCUGAAACUUAAAGGAAUUGACGGAAGGGCACCACCAGGAGUGGAGCCUGCGGCUUAAUUUGACCCAACACGGGGAAACUUACCAGGUCUAGACAUUGUGAGGAUUGACAGA